rnacentral:lncRNA from 1 species
AAACCAAAACAACACCACGUUGAAAUGUGGGAGAGAGUGUAUGACUUCUAGGAAAGCUGCAGCAUUGGCAUGUGAGUGUGAAACAGCUGCCCCGGAGGUCAGCGUUUGCACGGCGGUGUGGCACGUGGAGGACCUGAUGCACACCUUGCUUCCUAAAGCUGCUCCUGCCAACCACACAGCCCCAGCCGAGCAGAAAGGCACAGAUUGGGAGCGUGGGUCUCAAAAGCACUGGGUGGGAGAGGUUUCUUGCAGCUGGUUUUAUGUCGGUGGCCUCAACCAGCUCGCCUGCAGGUGGCAGGGAGAAGCAGGCUAUCUCUGUGGUGCAGAUGGACUCCAUCUCCAUCUCUGGGAAAGGCACGUGUUGUGCACCAGGGGUCAUCGAAGCAGCACGGAAACGGCACAUUGGCUGCCCAGAGGGAACCAGGGCUGGAUGGGACUGCUCCGAAACCCCAAAGAAGGGCUGUUUCUGCCCUGCCCUUCAGCACGCUUCCCCCAACCCCAGGUUGGUUUCAUA